rnacentral:tRNA from 1 species
UCCCUGGUGGUCUAGUGGUUAGGAUUUGGCGCUUUCACUGCCAAGGGCCCAGGUUCAAUCCCUGGUUGGGGAA